CGCGGACGACGGCGACCACGUCCUCCUCCGCGCGUUCAAGAACAAGGUGGACUACUGCCGCGUCCACGGCUUCGACGUCUUCUACAGCAACGCGGUGCUCGACGCCGAGCUGUCGGGGUUCUGGACCAAGCUGCCGGUCCUGCGCGCGCUGAUGCUCGCGCACCCGGAGGCGGAGCUCCUGUGGUGGGUGGACUCCGACGUCGUGUUCACCGACAUGCUGUUCGAGCCGCCGUGGGGAAAGUACGGGCGCCACAACCUCGUCGUCCCGGGGUGGAACGACAAGGUGUACGGCGCCAGGAGCUGGCUCGGCAUAAACGCCGGCAGCUUCAUCAUCCGCAACUGCCAGUGGUCGCUCGACCUGCUCGACGCGUGGGCGCGCAUGGGGCCGCGCGGCCCCGUGCGCUACGAGUACGGGAAGGUUCUCGGCAAGGCGCUCUCGGACCGGCCGUCGUACGAGGCCGACGACCAGUCGGCGCUCGUCUACCUGCUCGUCACGCAGCGCCUCAGGUGGGGCGACAAGACGUUCCUGGAGAGCUCCUACAGUCUGCACGGCUUCUGGCUGGGGAUCGUGGACAGAUACGAAGAGAUGCAGCGGGAUGCGUCUACGCCGAGGGACGGUGGCGAACGGUGGCCGCUGGUGACGCACUUCGUCGGGUGCAAGCCGUGUGGGGGGCAGUACGCGAGCUACGAAGCAUCGCGGUGCCGGACCGGCAUGGAGCGCGCGCUCAACUUCGCCGACGACCAAAUUCUCAGGCUGUACGGGUUCGAGCACGAGUCGCUCAACACCACGGCCGUGCGGCGCGUGCGGAACGACACCGGAGGGCCGCUGGACGCGGACGACGUGGAGAUCGGCCGGCUCUUGCACCCGACGUUCAGGGCUGCUGGGCCCUGGUGAUAUACAUUCGUUUUGGUUAAUUUAAUUCGGAGAUUCUUCAGUAUCGGUGUGAAUGUGUUAAGAGUGGUAUAACAUGCGCAUAUUUUAAG
rnacentral:misc_RNA from 1 species